rnacentral:rRNA from 1 species
UACGUAGGGGGCAAGCGUUGUCCGGAAUUAUUGGGCGUAAAGCGCGCGCAGGCGGUCAUUUAAGUUUGGUGUUUAAUCCCGGAGCUCAACUCCGGGUCGCACUGAAAACUGGAUGACUUGAGUACAGAAGAGGAGAGUGGAAUUCCACGUGUAGCGGUGAAAUGCGUAGAUAUGUGGAGGAACACCAGUGGCGAAGGCGGCUUCCUGGACCGACACUGACGCUGAGGCGCGAAAGCUAGGGGAGCAAACGGG